rnacentral:rRNA from 1 species
UGCCAGCAGCCGCGGUAAGACAGAGAUGGCAAGCGUUGUUCGGAAUUAUUGGGCUUAAAGCGCACGCAGGCGGGCCGUUAAGUGUCUGGUGAAAUCCCCCGGCUCAACCGGGGAAUGGCUGGGCAAACUGGCGGUCUUGAGGCCGAUAGGGGUACAUGGAACUCUAGGUGGAGCGGUGAAAUGCGUAGAUAUCUAGGGGAACGCCAGUGGUGAAAACGGUGUACUGGGUCGGUUCUGACGCUGAGGUGCGAAAGCGUGGGGAGCGAACGGGAUUAGAUACCCCGGUAGUCCACGCCGUAAACGAUGUCUACUAGGUCGCGGUCGGUCUGACCCGCUCGCGGCCGAAGCUAAAGUGCUAAGUAGACCGCCUGGGGAGUACGGUCGCAAGGCUAAAACUCAAAGGAAUUGACGGGGGCCCGCACAAGC